AGCUAAAUUGUAAAAUAAAUUAAAAUGAGCGU
rnacentral:piRNA from 1 species